UUUAUGUAGAUAUCAUACUCUGUUGUUCCUAUACUUAUACUUGUUCAGGUUAUUUAGUCCAGUAGGUGUGUUGACUGUUCCUCGUCACUACUCCACUGAGGUUAGUCUGAUACUUGCUAGGUACCGCCGUGGUGUACUCAUACUACACUUCUACACAUUUUUGUGCAGAUCCAGGUAUUUCGAAGUCAGUUGAUCAUUAGCUAGUUGUGCAGAUUGUUGCUGUGGAGACUCAAGGUAAACCUGAUGCUGCGUUCGCAGGCUUCAGAGUCACCUUCCUAUUUUGUAUUCACACUGCUUUACCUAUUUCCAAACAGUUGUAUUUAGAAAUUGGUAGCAAAACUCUGUAGAGCUUAUGACUUGUACUACCGGUUUUGGGAAUUGUAAAUUUUAUAGAGAUUUCCAUUUCAAAAAUUAUUAGAUGUUAUUUAAUUAUUGUUGUUAUUCAGUAAAUGUUAGGCUUACCUAGUCCCUAAGACUAGGUGCCAUCACGAUACCCAACAGAGGAAAAAAUUGGAUCGUGAUAAGUUGGUAUCAGAGCCCUAGGUUCAUAGGUGUUACGAGUCAUAAGCGGGUUUAGUAGAGUCUGGCGGAUCGGUGAGGAGAUGUCUGUACUUAUCUUUGAGAGGCUACAGAACUAUUAGGACAGUUUCACUUCCUUUAUUCCUAUCGUGCGAGUUUAUUGAUCUUGAAGUUUGAAGCUUUUAUCAUUUCAUUCUCUCACAGAUGGUGAGGACACGAGCUGCAGUUACUGAUGACUCUGCUCCCGGAGUAAAUGUCACUAGGGGAGGAGGCAGAGGUUGAAGAGGAGCACACGCCGCAACUAGAGCAUCCACCAGAGUAGUAGUUGAGGAUCCGCCAGUAGCUCCGGUUGGGGGGCAUGUACUGGAGGCGACUGUUGUUACCCCCGGACUUCAGGAGACCUUAGCACAGUUCCUGAGCAUGUUUGGUACAUUGGCUCAGACGGGGUUGAUUCCGGUUACUCCAGCAAUUUCACAUACUGGGGAGGAGCUCAGACUCCCGCCGCCCACACUCCAGAGCAGCAGGUUCAUAUUGGUCAGGUUCCAGGUGUUAUGGUGACAUAGCCUGUGGUCCCAGUUCGGCCCGUGGUUAGGGCAUCAACAUCUGAGGAAGAACAACUUAGACUUGAGAGGUACAAGAAGUACCACCCUCCUACCUUCAGUGUAUUGGCGACAGACGAUGCCCAGGGUUUCCUGGAGGAGUGUCACCGCAUUCUUUAUACUAUGGGUAUUGUGGAGACGAGCGGGGUUUCUUUUGUUAUGUUCUAGCUCAGGGGAGCGGCUUAUCAGUGGUGGCGGGCAUAUGAGUUGGGUACCCCGGCCGAGUCAGCUUCACUUACAUGGGUUCAGUUUUCAGAGAUGUUCCUGAGAGAGUUUGUACCUCAGUCCCUUCGAGAUGCUUGGCACGCGGAGUUUAAGCUGUUGCGCCAGGGCACUAUGUCAGUGUCAGAGUAUGCCGUUAGAUUCAGUGAUUUGGCCAGACAUGCACCUGCUUUGGUCGCUACAAUUAGAGAGCGUGUCCGUAGAUUUAUUGAGGGGCUCAGGCAUGAUAUUCGAUUCAGCAUGGCUCGGGAGUUAGAGUCAGAUAUUUCAUUUCAGCAGGUGGUAGGGAUCGCUCACCGAGUAGAGGGCAUGUGGGAUCAGGAGAGAGAGGUCAGGGUGGGCCAUGAGAGAGAGGACAGGCGAGGUCAGGAGAGGGAGGACAGGGAGGCUAGGAGGCCUCGUAGACCGGAGAGAUCUACUGGUCCUUAUUUUGGAGGCAGAGUAUGACAUGGUAGAGGUUUUGUGGGUCAGCCAGUUCAGUUUGCACUUCAGGCUUCGCACGGUGUUUCAGGUACUCAUAGGUCUCAAAGUACCCGUACCGCACAGUUCCCAUAGCUACGUCAGUAGAGGGGUUGCUUUUAGUGUGGAGAUACUAGCCACAUGGUGAGAGAUUGUCCCAGACUCCGAAUAGAUGUGUCACAGCAGGGUAUUCAGGCGAGUAGAGGGCGCCCAAGAGGGGGAGGCCCGGCCCGUUGAUGUGUUUCAUAUGGUAGGCUUGAGGCCGCCACGCCAGAUAAUUUCAUACAAGUAUGAUUUUGAUUUUUUACAGAGGGGAACCAUUCGUAUUGUGUUUUAGUUCUGCUUAUCGGGGCGAGUUCCCUUAUUUGUUGCUUCAUUUAUGGGUGAGUUUCAUGAUUAGUACUCUACUUAUGUGCUUACCCAUGUUGGGAGAUUCUAUGAGUGGUAGCCCAUGUCUAUCAUUUGUUUUUAUUCAUUAUUGAGAGUUACGAGGAUAGAAGUGAAUUCAUGUUGUCCAUUAUGGUAGGUUUGAUGUGAUUCCUGAGUAAUUUGGUUACGAUUUGUGAUUUGAUACUCUACCGGGGUGAGAGUUUAGUAAGUGUUGUGAUUUUAUUGGAAGAAUUGAGUUAGUGGAAGAUUUCCAUUGGUGUGAUGUGUAUUCGACUUGUGAUUCAGAGUUGAGGGUGAGCCCUCGCGAUUCCAUGUGAUUUGAUAUGUUUGAGUCGGGUUGCGUGCCGCGGUGGAAGUUAUAUCAGGAUGAGAUCCUUGUGAUUUGUUCAUAUACUUUAAUUUUUCCUUUUAAAUUGAUUCGUAGGAUAGUACUGAUAGAGAGUUGUGCCUGUCGGGCUUGUUUGAUAUUUCUAUUAUGUGUUUCUCUUUACAUAUUUAGUCAUUUUCGUUUUGUGCUUCUUGAGUUUUAGUUUGCGGGGUGUGUGCCCGGUGGUGUUAGUUGUGACUUGUUGAUUCGGGUGUAUAGUUAAGAGGUCUUCAUGUUUCUUGCAUCGUUGUCAGUGUUGUGGAGGUUUGAAAUAAGGUUCUAAUAGAUAUGAGGCUAAUUGUCAAUGCUGGUUUUGAUUACGGGCAAUUAUUGUGAUCAGAAAUGUUAUUAUGGGCCUAUGUGUGGCAUAUCAUGUUGAAUGGUCGUACCUUGUAGUUGUAGGCAUGAGUUGUUGCAGCUAGUUGAGACUGAUACCGGGUGUGGAUUUAGAAUUUCGUCUUUUGGAGAUGAACGAAAGGUGAGAAUUUUGACUCUAAGGCUUAUCGGAGUUAGUAGAAAGGAUAAAUUACAAUUGAGAUGGUAUCGUCAGCUUUAUGUGGACUGGGGUGACGUGGGGUCACCCGCGGGUGUAUAUUGGAUAUGUGCAUUCAGUGAUUUGAACACGUCGAGGCGAUUCUUGGCACAUUCGAGGACGAACGUUUGUUUAAGAGGGAGAGGAUGUAACGACCCAGCCGGUCAUUUUGAGAAUUUAAGUCCUGUUCGGCGGCAUAAGGUCCUGAGCAGCUUCGUAUUAUGUGUAUUGACUUGCGUGCAUGGUUGAAUUCAGUUACAGGAUGAUUCGGAGUCAAAUCAGAAGAAGGAUGCAAGUUUUGGAAGCUUAAGUCUUAGGAUUUUAACCGAAGUCAGAACUGUGUGAAGACGACUCCUGAAUGAAGUUCUGUCGAUUUCGUUAGCUUCGUUGGGUGAUUUUGGACUUAGGAGCGUGUCCGGACUGUGAAUUUGUGGUCUGUUGCUGAUUUAGGCUUGAAAUGGCGAAAGCUAAAUUUUGUGAAGAUUUUGACCGGAAGUGGACUUUUUGAUAUCGGGGUCGGAGUCUAAUUCUGGAAGUUGGAGUAGGUCCGUAAUGUUGAAUAUGACUUUUGUGCAAAAUUUGAGGUCAAUCGGACGUGGUUUGAUAGGUUUCAACAUUAGUUGUAGCAAUUUGAAGUUUCAAGCUCAUUAAGUUGAAUUAGAGGGUGAUUCGUGUUUUUAGCGUCGUUUGAUGUAAUUUGAGGACUAGACUAAGUUCAUAUGGUGUUAUAGGACUGGUUGGUGUGUUUGGUUGAGGUCCCGUGGGUGGUGACUUUCGGAUGCUUAACGAAUCAAAAUUUGGACUUGUGUAAUCGCUGAAGCUUUCAAGCUUCUGGUGUAAUCGCACCUGCGUUGGGGUGGCCGCAGGUGCGGACACGCACGUGCAAGAGGCCAAGCGCAGAAGCGGGAUUUAGGAGAUGGCCAGGGGUUGCAGGUGCGAGGGAAUUUCUGCAUCUGCGAGCCCGCAGAUACGCUUAAAGUUCCGCAGAUGCAGAGAGUGAGCUGGAGGGGCAGUCCGCAGUACCGGACAUUUGUUCGCAGGCGCGCACUCGCAGGUGCGGCCAUUUGAUCGCAGAAGCGGACCUAUGUGUGUAAGACAAGUCCGCACCUAUGAUGCAUUUUCCGGAGGUGCGGCGUCGCAGGUGCGACUAUGGGUCCGCAGGUGCGAGAUCACUGGGUAGAAAAGGGGAAAUUACGAGGGUUUGAUCUCAUUUUCACUUUGGGGCUUUGAGAGCUUGGAUUUAGGCUAUAAUUUGAGGGAUUUUCAGAGGAAGCUAUUGGGUAAUGAUUCUUAACUCAUUUAUGGUUGUAUUCUACUAAUCUAUAGUUGAUUUCAUCAUUUAAUUAAGGAAUUUGGUUGAGAAAUGUGGAAAAAAUGGGGGAAGUUUUUCAACUAAAUUUUUGAGUUUUGAUUGGGAUUUUGAUAUCGGAUUUGGAUAAUUUUGGUACGAGUGAACUCGUGGUUGAUUGGGUGUUCGUAUGUUUUGACUUUUAUCUGAUUCCAAGACGUGGGCCCGGGUCGACGUUUUAUGACAAUUUUCAAAAAUUUUGUUGAAGUUUUGAUUUCAUUAAUUAGAUUAGUCUAUUAUAUUUGUAUUUAUGAUAUGUAAUUGUUUUGUUGCUAGAUUUGGGCCAUCCGGAGUCGGAUAAUCGAGGAAAGGGCAUUCUUAUGAAUUGAUUGAGUUUGGUUCGAGGUAAGUAUCUUGCCUAAUUUCGUGUGGGGGAACUACCCCUUAGGAUUAGAGUCUUCUAUCUAAUUGCAGUUCGUGUACGCGAGGUGACGAGUACGUGCCCGGACUUCUUUGAGGAAAAUUGGUUUUUUAGGGUUCUUAGGUCCUUAUAUUCACUGAAUAUGCAGUUGUUCUCCUUAUGAUUAUGUUUCUUAAUUACCAGUUCACUUCUACCUACUUUAAUUAGAAUUAAUUGCUUUAUGAUCUACUCUUGUUGUUCAUUUGAUUCAUAUGUUCCUUAACUGAAAUUCUUAUCUCUUCUAUUGCCAUGUUGUCUUUUCCCUAACUGCCUAUCUUUAUUUGAAGUUAUAAUUAUCUCUUCUAUAAUUGUUCAUCCUUAAUUGAGGCUACGAUUAUCUUUAUACUGCUUAUCCUUAAUUGAAGUCGUUUCGACUCUUUCGUAUUUGCCCAACCUUAAAAGAAGUUUAGAUAUCCUAUACUUAGAUGACUUAUCCUUAUUUGGAAUUAUUCGACUUAUGUUAGCUCCCAUGUUGUUGAACUGUACAUUGUGGGACCGUUGUUACCUAUUAUUUCCUUCCCUAUUAAGUUGUUCUUAUUAUGACUAGCAUUCUCUAUUGUGGCUACCCCUUGUGAAUUAGUUCCUCCGUUCCUUUAAGUUCUGAAAUUUCUGAGUUGACUUAUUUGUCUUACCCUUGUAUUACUACCAUUGUUGUUGUUGUGCUUGUUGUGGCGAGGCACGAGGUUUCUGCCAUGCGGUUAUUGUUAUUGUGAUGCACGAGGUUUUUGUUAUUCGGUUGUUGUUAUGGGGUUUUUAUUGUGCGGUUGUUGUUAUGGCGAGACAAGGUGGGAACAUUAUUAUGCUUGUGUGGUGAGACAAGACGUGCAUUUACUUUACUAUUGCACACGUGGAGAGACAAGGUGGGCUAUGUCAGGGAUUGAUUUGUGAUGACUUGUAAUGGCCUGGGGGGAUCGUUGUUGUUGAUGUUUGUGUAGUGGUACACUUACCUGUGUGAGCUUUAUCUUGUGGAAAGUUGUGAGAAAAUAUUCUACGUGCUGUCCAUUUCUUUUCGUAUACUUACUAGCUGGCAUGAACUAUGUUAGGACACUUGCACAAGCAUACACGUAGUUGAGCACUCUUAUCGGUUAAGAGGUUUUCUUGAUAUUGCGGAGUAUAGAUGAACACCCUUGUUUACUUGCCUUCUAUGUGAGAAUGAAUCUAUUUGGCACGUGAGUCAUCAGUGCGGUUAUAAAGUGUAAUGAGGAAAAGGAUGCCAAGUGUUAGGGUUCAUGUAUUGGGACCCGUGAGUUGUGAAUAGUAUGAGGUUCAGUACCUCGUGGAGUUUAUUGACUAAAACCUGGUGUGAAAGCGGUCGUUUUGUGGAGUUGUUACUUGUCCUUCUUUAUCUGUGAUUAUCAGAUUUAAGCUGUGUUUUCAUUCAUUCUUUUAUGUCAUUAUUAUGGUGUUCCGCUGAUAGUUGUUGUUUUCCUUCCUUAUUGCAAUUACCGCAUUAUUUUCCACUUCACGUCGUCUUUAUGUAGAUAUCAUCCUGUUGUUCCUAUUCUUAUACUUGUUCAGGUUAUUUAGUCCAGUAGGUGUCUUGACUGUUUCUCGUCACUACUCCACUGAGGUUAGUCUGAUACUUGCUGGGUACCGCCGUGGUGUACUCAUACUACACUUCUGCACAUUUUUGUGCAGAUCCAGAUAUUUCGAAGUUAGUUGAUCAUUAGCUAGUUGUGCAGAUUGUUGUUGUGGAGACUCAAGGUAAAUCCGCUAUUGUGUUCGCAGGCUUCGGAGUCACCUUCCUAUUUUGUAUUCACACUGCUUUACCUAUUUCCAAAUAGUUGUAUUUAGAAAUUUGUAGCAAAACUCUGUAGAGCUUAUAACUUAUACUUCCGGUUUUGGAAAUUGUAAAUUUUAUAGAGAUUUCCAUU
rnacentral:lncRNA from 1 species